rnacentral:rRNA from 1 species
UACGUAGGGGGCAAGCGUUGUCCGGAAUCAUUGGGCGUAAAGAGCGUGUAGGCGGCCCGGUAAGUCCGCUGUGAAAGUCAAGGGCUCAACCCUUGGAUGCCGGCGGAUACUGUCGGGCUAGAGUCCGGAAGAGGCGAGUGGAAUUCCUGGUGUAGCGGUGAAAUGCGCAGAUAUCAGGAGGAACACCUACGGCGAAGGCAGCUCGCUGGGACGGUACUGACGCUGAGACGCGAAAGCGUGGGGAGCAAACAG